AGCUUUGCGCAGUGGCAGUAUCAUAGCCAAUGAGGUCAAACCGAGGCGUGAUUAUUGCUAAUUGAAAACUUUUCCCAAUACCCCCGCCGUGAUGACUUGAAAUAUAGUCAGCACUGGCAAUUUUUGACAGUCUCUCAGGAGA
ensembl:snRNA U4 U4 spliceosomal RNA